UACGUAGGGAGCAAGCGUUGUCCGGAAUCAUUGGGCGUAAAGCGCGCGUAGGCGGCCCCGUAAGUCCGCUGUGAAAGUCAAAGGCUCAACCUUUGAAAGCCGGUGGAUACUGUGGGGCUGGAGUCCGGAAGAGGCGAGUGGAAUUCCUGGUGUAGCGGUGGAAUGCGCAGAUAUCAGGAGGAACACCAAUAGCGAAGGCAGCUCGCUGGGACGGUACUGACGCUAAGGCGCGAAAGCGUGGGGAGCGAACAGG
rnacentral:rRNA from 1 species